AUGAACGCUGGCGGCGUGCCUAAUCCAUGCAAGUCGAGCGAACAGACGAGGAGCUUGCUCCUCUGACGUUAGCGGCGGACGGGUGAGUAACACGUGGCUAACCUACCUAUAAGACUGGGAUAACUUCGGGAAACCGGAGCUAAUACCGGAUAAUAUAUUGAACCGCAUGGUUCAAUAGUGAAAGACGGCUUUGCUGUCACUUAUAGAUGGAUCCGCGCCGCAUUAGCUAGUUGGUAAGGUAACGGCUUACCAAGGCAACGAUGCGUAGCCGACCUGAGAGGGUGAUCGGCCACACUGGAACUGAGACGCGGUCCAGACUCCUACGGGAGGCAGCAGUAGGGAAUCUUCCGCAAUGGGCGAAAGCCUGACGGAGCAACGCCGCGUGAGUGAUGAAGGUCUUCGGAUCGUAAAACUCUGUUAUUAGGGAAGAACAAAUGUGUAAGUAACUAUGCACGUCUUGACGGUACCUAAUCAGAAAGCCACGGCUAACUACGUG
rnacentral:rRNA from 1 species